UAAUGAUGAUGAUGAUGACGAUGAUGAUGAUAAUGGUGGUGGUGGUGAUAAUGAUCAUCAUCAUCGUCAUCAUCGUCAUCAUCAUCAUGACGAUG
rnacentral:pre_miRNA from 1 species